AAAUAAAAAAAAGCCAAUUUGCAACUUGUUAUAAUGGUAACAAUUUAACCUUUAGACCUUAUCCAAGUCAUACAUUAAUCGCAUGUUAACAAUCAAUAGAGCAAAAUAAAAUUAUGAGUAACACAACAUUGAAAAGUUCUUUGAUUCAUUUUCAUAAUCAAUCAUCAAUCAGUUGAGAGAAGAGUCUAUCUAUGCUGGACGGAUGUAGGAUUCGUCUGUUCUACUAAAUUCUUUCAUGAAGAUUUUUAUUCAUUCAAUGUGUAAAUUUGGUAUUCUGGAUAUCCAUGACCAAUUCCACCAAGAUCAUGAAGUCUCCUCGACCGCUUCCAAUCAUUACUCGACGGUUUUCAACAAUUGGAAAUCUCAUAUGCAGCAUUCUUUCCACUCUCAUCUGUUGAUGCAACUGUGCAUAAUCCCGUCAUUAAUGAGACACAGAAUACUAGUCUGUGUUUCUCAUCAGGU
rnacentral:misc_RNA from 1 species